GACGAACGCUGGCGGCGUGCUUAACACAUGCAAGUCGAACGGUGAACCUCUUCGGAGGGGAUCAGUGGCGAACGGGUGAGUAACACGUGGGCAACCUGCCCCCGGCUCUGGGAUAACUCCAAGAAAUUGGGGCUAAUACCGGAUGUUCACCGCUUCCCGCAUGGGUGGGGGUGGAAAGGGUUUCCGGCUGGGGAUGGGCCCGCGGCCGAUCAGCUUGUUGGUGGGGUAGUGGCCUACCAAGGCGACGACGGGUAGCCGGCCUGAGAGGGGGACCGGCCACACUGGGACUGAGACACGGCCCCGACUCCUACGGGAGGCAGCAGUGGGGAAUAUUGCGCAAUGGGCGGAAGCCUGACGCAGCGACGCCGCGUGGGGGAUGACGGCCUUCGGGUUGUAAACCUCUUUCAGCAGGGACGAAGCGCAAGUGACGGUACCUGCAGAAGAAGCACCGGCCAACUACGUG
rnacentral:rRNA from 1 species